rnacentral:rRNA from 1 species
GACGAACGCUGGCGGCGUGCUUAACACAUGCAAGUCGAACGGAAAGGCCCUGCUUUUGUGGGGUGCUCGAGUGGCGAACGGGUGAGUAACACGUGAGUAACCUGCCCUUGACUUUGGGAUAACUUCAGGAAACUGGGGCUAAUACCGGAUAGGAGCUCCUGCUGCAUGGUGGGGGUUGGAAAGUUUCGGCGGGUGGGGAUGGACUCGCGGCUUAUCAGCUUGUUGGUGGGGUAGUGGCUUACCAAGGCUUUGACGGGUAGCCGGCCUGAGAGGGUGACCGGCCACAUUGGGACUGAGAUACGGCGCAGACGCGUACGGGAGGCAGCAGGGGGGAAUAUUGUACAGUGGGCGGAAGCCUGAUGCAGCAACGCCGCGUGCGUGAUGACGGCCUUCGGGUUGUAAACAGCAUUCGCCUGUGACGAAGCGUGAGUGACGGUAAUGGGUAAAGAAGCACCGGCUAACUACGUG